rnacentral:lncRNA from 1 species
UGAGAGAAGAGAAAAUAAGCAGGCUUGGUGAGGAUGUGGAGAAGCUGAAGCCCUUCCAACAAGGCUGGUGGGAAUGUGAAACUGCAGCCACUGUGACAAAGAACCUGGCCAGCUCUCAGGAAGCUAAACAUAGAAUUACCAUAAUCCCAGCAAUUCCACCCCUAGGUAUGUAUUAAGGAAAAGAAAACCACCACACAAAACCU